AAUGAGUUCAGGGGGCGGAGGCUUCAGCGGCCCACCGGUACCUAAUCAGCCACAAGACCGGAAGCCCCACAAUCCGAGAGAGACGUGGGCUUCCCCCAUCCCAGACAAGUCAACACGGAAUCCCAAACUCUCCUUUCUGCCUCCAGGCCCCGUCUGACCCCAUUGGCAGCAGUUCCCGCCAAUCCGCGGGGUCACCGCCCCCCCAGCCCGCCUGCCCAGCCGUGAUUGGAUGGGACGGGAGCCGGGACCUCGUGUUACCAAUCUGGGAGCCCCUUACUCAGCCACACGCUAAAGCCCAGGUCCUGGGACAGAAGCGUUACGGGCUAAGCAAGCUCUCGCCUCCAACACCGCCACCCGCCAGAAGCCGUCAGCCCCCCCUUCAAGCUCUGACGCCGCUCGUCGCCACCGUCGCCGGGACGUGAGCGCGCACGCUCCUCGCGCUUAGUUGUUUCCCGCGGGGGCUCCACCAACUGGCGUCCAACUGCAUUUGCUCCACCCGCUCCGCCCGGGAGAGGUUCCACCCUAACGGCUCUCGGGCGCGUGCACGCGAGCUUCUCCCGCCCCUUUCCCCCAGAUCUCGCGAGACUGGUUAUCAAACGACCCUCGAGCUAGAUCCGCCCGCGGCGCCAAACUGCACGCACCGGUCUGCGAGUGGGCUAGGCCCGCGCCGCACGCUGUGCUGGCGAACCGAACUCAAAUUAGCAAAUGUGCCUGAAGGUUAGCCCGAGUCAAAAGUAAGUGGAGACCUCGCGGAUCAGUUCUACUGAGGUUAGCAGUCUUAGUAGUUAAUACGGGCGUAUUUCUAACGCAUAUUCACUGACCGAUUAACUCGCUUUUAGGGGCCCACCCAGUGUAUACAUUCACUCAACCUUUUCCCCACUGCUGCCUUGACCUUCUAUAAAAGGAACCCUGGAGAACUGA